UCUCCCAAGACCAACGGGGAGGUGGCACAAGGGGCUGCAAACUCUAUUUUUGAGCUUAGGGUACAUGCUGUCUCUGCAUUUUUUAGGCCUUGGGAUUAACUUGGGUGUCUUUGUAAUCCAUCGUCGGGGCGACGAUGCAAAAAGGAGGGGUAGAUUGUGGCAGGAUGAAUGGUAUCCCUCGGUCCAACCCACUUUCAGCCUGGCGCAUUAGGGGGCGCUAGUAUAAAUAGUGGCCAUUUGAGUGUCCCUGGAUCGCUUGCCUGUGACCUCCUUUUUGGUCACCUGACUUCCUGUUGGUGUUGCUGAGAUUAGUUGCGGGUUACUUUUCUGAAGCCUCCAUCGCAGCUGGUAGGUGUUUACUCAUUGUAGUGUAUAUAUUACUUUGCUUGAUGGUAAACAGCUAUUGUUUGUAGGUCGUAGCUGUAGAAGCCUCCUCUGAGCCAUUCUGCUUACGUUUUAUGACACGGCUUACUUGAUGCGGAGUGCUGACGUGGAGGAGACUAGGGUGCCUUGGUGGUGGGAUCCUCUGAGUGUACACACCUGCCUUGUUUAAUUUAUUAGUG